UCUAUGGUUCGAGGAAUCGCCAGCUCCAGGGUUGCGUGGUCCGGCUUUUGCGCGUGCGCGGACCCAGGCGCGUGCCCGCCCUCUCGCCAGUGACCGUCCCCGCGGGUGGGAGGGGUGGGUCUGGGAAGGUUGCAGCGGCUGGGGCCGCGGACCUUGCGUCCACCGCUGGUCUCUGGGAGAGCUUGCGGCUCGGAGUCCUCCGCAGCCUCCUCUGGCCCCUGGGCCCACCGGCCUCACAUGGUGGGUCCAGAGGAUGCCAGACCCUGUUCGGGCAGAAACGCUAAGUUGCUUCUAGUACCUGCGCUUGAGCCCGUGGGCCAGAACGGGAAGAUGAUGCGGGCCACGGGCGGCUUUAGCGGAGGCGUCGGCGCUGUGGAGCAGCCAGCGGCUGAGGAAGAAGAAGAGGAGGAGGAGGAGACUCCGCCACCGCAGCUCCUUCAGCGUUACCUUGCCGCGGCCGGGGGCCAGUUAGAGCCGGGGCUCUGCUACUGUGCCCUGCCCGGCGGCCAGGCCGGUGCCUCGCUGUCCUCGGUAGCCCUGCGCUGGGACGCCUGCCCUCCGGGCCCGGGCUCCAAGCUCCGCGGCUCAGGGGCAGUGGGUGCCCGAGCGCCGCGACAGGGAGGCAUGACCAACGGGGACUCGGGCUUUCUCCCGGGCCAGGACCGUCGUGGCUUGGAGAAGGCUAGUGGGCUGGCUCGCGCCGAUGGCCCGGAGUCGUGCGGCCGCAGCCCCUGCCCUUGCGGCCGCUUGCGCCUCGAGGGGCCUGGCGACGAGGGCGCGGAAAGCGCGGGCAGCGUGGACGACUGGGCCGCGCCGCUGGAGGACCCGCUGCGGAGCUGCUGUCUGGGGAACGUGAACGGCAAAAAGCUCGAGGGCUCGGGCAGCGAAGCCACGGGUUCCGAGGAGGGCGCGACCCCCGCCGCCCUCUCGGUCAGGAGAACUAGUGGGGGCACGGAGCUGGUCCUUGGCUUUCCGGACGUUCGCUUGAACUCACGGAACACAUUCGAGGUGAGCCGCCGCCAGAGCGCCGGCGACCACCUGACCUCCGCAGGGCCGCAGGUGUCCUCGCCCACCGCGGAGCAAGACCCUGCGGGGACCUCGACCCGGGCUCGACGGAGCGGCGGCUUCGCCGACUUCUUCGCCAGAAAUCUUUUUCUAAGGACAAAGGAACUCAAAUCAGUUGUUCAUAGUGCUCCUGGUUGGAAAUUAUUUGGUAAAGUCCCACCCAGAGAGAACCUUCAGAAAACUUCCAGAAUCAUUCAGCAGGAAUAUGAAGCACGAACAGGAAGGACCUGUAAACCAUCAACUCAGUCUUCAAGACGUAAAAAUUUUGAAUUUGAGCCACUUUCUACCACUGCCCUGAUUCUUGAGGACCGACCAUCAGCUAUGAAAGCACCCAUGUGGGAGCUGGGACUGAGAGAAGAAAGCCUGAUAGCCAGGAGGGCCCAAAGAACAUGACAGACCUAUAGCAACAUCUCUCAACAUGCAGCAGCCACAGGCAGCUAUUUCAGUUAUAAUUUAUAUUCAUUUAAAAAUUCAAAAGUUACACCGGCUACAUCAAGUGUUUAUUUAGCUACCUUGACUAUGGCUUCUACAUUGAACAACAGGUAUGAGCCUGUCCAUCCUUACAGGAAGUUCAUUCAGACAGAGUGGAGAGCCCUUGGUCCCUUUCCUCCCUAGCACUGUUGGAAAUGGUUUCUUUGAAUAUUUUAGUAGCUGCUGCAAGUCUUUUGGAUGAAUUGGAUGGGUUUAGAAAACAUGGUUUCUGGUAAGCUUUUAAACAGUUCAGGUAGCUCAUCAAUGGUCAAUAAAUCAGAAUAUUUCAGUGGUGCCUUUCCUCAUGAUUCUAGAAUGUUUCUAGAACAUUCUAGACAGGACCAUUGUUCUAGGACAGUACUUCCCUAACUUCUUAGUCCGUAGCCAUUCAUUUUGUUUUGUUUUUGCCAUUUUCUCAUAUUUAUGGCAUGUGCUAUUUAUGCCAUAUUGUCCUUUAAACUGAUUCACAUUUUUACUUCAGUUUGUCUGAAAAGGAGACUUCAUGACUAUAAAUGGAAAACUAUCAAGGAAAACAUUUUUAAAAGCAAACUUUUUUAAUUUUUUAAAAAUUUUUAAAUUUUGUUUUGGUACCGGGGAUCAAACUCUGGACCUUGCGCUUGCAAGGC
rnacentral:lncRNA from 1 species